GACGAACGCUGGCGGCGUGCUUAACACAUGCAAGUCGAACGGAGCACCCUUGAAAGAGAUUUCGGUCAAUGGAGAGGAAUGCUUAGUGGCGGACUGGUGAGUAACGCGUGAGGAACCUGCCUUCCAGAGGGGGACAACAGUUGGAAACGACUGCUAAUACCGCAUAAUGUGUUGUGAUGGCAUCAUUGCAACACCAAAGAUUUAUCGCUGGAAGAUGGCCUCGCGUCUGAUUAGCUAGUAGGCGGGGUAACGGCCCACCUAGGCGACGAUCAGUAGCCGGACUGAGAGGUUGACCGGCCACAUUGGGACUGAGAUACGGCCCAG
rnacentral:rRNA from 1 species